rnacentral:rRNA from 1 species
AACGAACGCUGGCGGCAUGCCUAACACAUGCAAGUCGAACGAGAUCUUCGGGUCUAGUGGCGCACGAGUGCGUAACGCGUGGGAAUCUGCCCUUUGGUUCGGAAUAACAGUUGGAAACGACUGCUAAUACCGGAUGAUGACGAAAGUCCAAAGAUUUAUCGCCAGAGGAUGAGCCCGCGUAGGAUUAGCUAGUUGGUGUGGUAAAGGCGCACCAAGGCGACGAUCCUUAGCUGGUCUGAGAGAAUGAUCAGCCACACUGGGACUGAGAAACGGCCCAGACUCCUACGGGAGGCAGCAGUGGGGAAUAUUGGAUAAUGGGCGAAAGCCUUAUCCAGCAAUGCCGCGUGAGUGAUGAAGGCCUUAGGGUUGUAAAGCUCUUUUACCCGGGAUGAUAAUGACAGUACCGGGAGAAUAAGCUCCGGCUAACUCCGUGCCAGCAGCCGCCGCGG